rnacentral:rRNA from 1 species
AUAUAGAUUAAGUUAUUAAGGGCGCACGGUGGAUGCCUUGGCACUAGAAGCCGAUGAAGGACGUUACUAACGACGAUAUGCUUUGGGGAGCUGUAAGUAAGCUUUGAUCCAGAGAUUUCCGAAUGGGGAAACCCAGCACGAGUUAUGUCGUGUUAUCUGCAUGUGAAUACAUAGCAUGCAAGAAGGCAGACCCGGAGAACUGAAACAUCUUAGUACCCGGAGGAAGAGAAAGAAAAAUCGAUUCCCUGAGUAGCGGCGAGCGAAACGGGAAGAGCCCAAACCAAUAAGCUUGCUUAUUGGGGUUGUAGGACACUCU